rnacentral:lncRNA from 1 species
UUUUGCUUUUCAUCACCUGCAAGAUUUACAUAAAAAUCACAUAAGCUGGAAUUCAACAAAAGACCUCCGACUAUGUGAAGAUACAGUGGGAAGAUGACUGUCUGCAAGGCAGGAAGAGAGCCCUCACUGAGGAACCAAAUUGGCCAGUAUCUUGAUCUUGGAUUUCUCAGCCUCGAGAACCAUGAGAAAUGAAUGUCUAUUGUUCAAGCCACCCAGUUUAUGUCCAUGAGGGCAAGCAUCUUUGUUCAUUUUGCUCACUAUUGGAUUCCCUGUUUUAAAAAUAUCACCUGGCCCAGCAAAAGGUUUGGAAACCUUCAUCUAGAAAGUGGUCUAGCAAAGUGUGGUCCAUGGAUGAGUUUGAUCUGCAAAGUGCUUGUUAUUGGUUCAUGACAAGGUCCACCAAUUGCAUUUUGAGAGCUCAGAUAAGCAGAGAGCAAUGCAAUUUGUCACGGAAGGAUGAUUAUGUAUAUGCACUGUCAUGUCUAUUUCCAUGCCUAACUCAAAGGAGACACAGGGAGAAAGUGAGCUUAGCCUGGGUAAAUUGGAGGUUGUGAUGACUUCUAGGAAGCCUCAGGAAAGAGAAACAAAGACAACGCUGGCCUGCUGCUCUCUGCAAUGGUGGGACCCUUGUGGGAUAACUGUUUUAGGAAUGAAGGUGUCUACCCUCUCUAGAAAUGAAAACGCAAGUUUGGCUGUGGUUAAGUAUUGGAUGGACGCAAAAAGAAACUGACAUAUUUGCUUCUUUUCAAUUGUUUGAUUCACCCUGAAGGGCAUGGCUGCCUAAUUUUUUUCUCCAGAGAUAGGUGGACAGAUAAAGACAGGAAAGUAACAUCCGCAGACUGCCCUCUGUGAAGGUGACAGUGAUGAAGGGAACGCUUGAUCUGAACACUGGUAAAUAAAGUGACCGCAUAUUUCCCUAGCCAGGAGAGCAAUCUGGCUCAAAAGAAACGAGAACAAUGACAUUACUGCCAGGCUGCUCCUAAGCCUUUGGCUAUUCUGUUCAGUGCACAUAAAAAGCAGUGAACAUAGCUGUGACCUGCCUUGUUGGCAGUAUCACAAUUCUUUGGGGCUCCACUUUGAGAAAUUGAGACCUACCUACCUUAACCCUGGGGGCGGGUUAAGCUUUCAGACUGGAAUCAUAACUGAACUAUUCAUUUGCAGUAAUUCUGGGUUUUGUGCAUAUUUUAAAAAGGAAUACCGGGCUUGCCUAUAUUCAUUACAACGUCCUCCCAGCUUUCAAAUCUUCCAAUACAAUGCCUCUUCUCUAGUCUUUUAAGCACAUCCUGUGACUGGAUAUGAUUAUGGGAGAUUUACAUGCAUCCUUGUCUAUUGUAUCAAAAGAUCAGCGAAUAAAAUGCCCAUCAUUAAAACCCCAAAGUGAUUGGAUUGGCAUGAGGAAUGGG